rnacentral:rRNA from 1 species
CUUCGGGAUAAGCCUGGGAAACUGGGUCUAAUACCGGAUAUUCAGUUCCUGCCGCAUGGUGGGGGUUGGAAAGUUUUUCGGUGCAGGAUGAGCCCGCGGCCUAUCAGCUUGUUGGUGGGGUAAUGGCCUACCAAGGCGACGACGGGUAGCCGGCCUGAGAGGGUGAUCGGCCACACUGGGACUGAGACACGGCCCAGACUCCUACGGGAGGCAGCAGUGGGGAAUAUUGCACAAUGGGCGAUAGCAUGAUGCAGCGACGCCGCGUGGGGGAUGACGGUCUUCGGAUUGUAAACCCCUUUCAGUAGGGACGAAGCGCAAGUUACGGUACCUGCAGAAGAAGCACCGGCCAACUACGUGCCAGCAGCUGCGGUAAUACGUAGGGUGCGAGCGUUGUCCGGAAUUACUGGGCGUUAAGAGCUCGUAGGCGGUUUGUCGCGUCGUCCGUUAAAACUCGGAGCUUAACUUCGAGCUUGCGGGCGAUACGGGCAGACUUGAGUUCUACAGGGGAGACUGGAAUUCCUGGUGUAGCGGUGAAAUGCGCAGAUAUUAGGAGGAACACUGGUGGCGAAGGCGGGUCUCUGGGUAGUAACUGACGCUGAGGAGCGAAACCUGGGGUAGCGAACAGGAUUAGAUACCCUGGUAGUUCAUGCCGUAAACCGU